CACCUCUCAGGGUCUCACUUGGAGAGUUUCCUGUACUCUACCAGUCUCGACUAUAGGAGGAAGAGUCAAGCAGAGGCAUACCCAUUCCAUACCUAGCUUAGGCGGUGGCUAGUGAGUGGAAGGCAAUCUGCUACAAGU